rnacentral:rRNA from 1 species
UAGGGAAUCUUCCACAAUGGACGCAAGUCUGAUGGAGCAACGCCGCGUGAGUGAAGAAGGGUUUCGGCUCGUAAAGCUCUGUUGGUAGUGAAGAAAGAUAGAGGUAGUAACUGGCCUUUAUUUGACGGUAAUUACUUAGAAAGUCACGGCUAACUACGUGCC